AGCAGCCGCGGUAAUUCCAGCUCCAAUAGCGUAUAUUAAAGUUGCUGCAGUUAAAAAGCUCGUAGUUGAAUUUCGGGACUAAUAUGUCGGUCGUGCCUCGGUACGUACUGGCUUAUUGGUUUCUCCUUUCUGAAGAACCAUGAUGUCAUUUAUUUGGUGUCGUGGGGAAUCAGGACUGUUACUUUGAAAAAUUAGAGUGUUUAAAGCAGGCUCACGCUUGAAUACAUUAGCAUGGAAUAAUGAAAUAGGACGUUUGAUUCUAUUUUGUUGGUUUCUAGGAUCGACGUAAUGAUUAAUAGGGAUAGUUGGGGGCAUUAGUAUUCAAUUGUCAGAGGUGAAAUUCUUGGAUUUAUUGAAGACUAACUACUGCGAAAGCAUUUGCCAAGGAUGUUUUCAUUAAUCAAGAACGAAAGUUAGGGGAUCGAAGACGAUCAGAUACCGUCGUAGUCUUAACCAUAAACUAUGCCGACUAGGGAUCGGAUGAUGUUAAUUUUUAUGACUCAUUCGGCGUACCCG
rnacentral:rRNA from 1 species